CCCUUAGAUGUUCUGGGCUGCACCCGUACUACACUGGCAGGUUCAGCGAGCUUCAUGCCCUGAUCUGAAAGGAAUGGGAAAUCUUUUCAAAACCUGCCGUGCUUGGGAUAGAUGUUUGCAAUUAUUCAUCUUCAACGAGGAUUGCCUUGUAAGCGCACGUCAUCAGCGUGCAUUGAAUACGACCCUGUAUUCUGUACACACCGCCCGUCGCUCCUACCGAUUGAAGUUUUCGGUGAGUUGACAGGAGGAUUUUUUUGAAACUGGUUCGCCAGUGGAUUUUAGAUCCAAAUGCCAACGAAUCGAUGGCUUUAGAGGAAGGAGAAGUCGUAACA
rnacentral:rRNA from 1 species